GGGGGUGUGGUGGAGAUGGUUACCACGCCGGCCUGUCAAGCCGGAGGUCGCGGGUUCAAAUCCCGUCGCUCCCG
rnacentral:tRNA from 1 species